rnacentral:rRNA from 1 species
GAUGAACGCUGGCGGCGUGCCUAAUACAUGCAAGUCGAGCGAACAGACGAGGAGCUUGCUCCUCUGACGUUAGCGGCGGACGGGUGAGUAACACGUGGAUAACCUACCUAUAAGACUGGGAUAACUUCGGGAAACCGGAGCUAAUACCGGAUAAUAUAUUGAACCGCAUGGUUCAAUAGUUAAAGACGGUUUUGCUGUCACUUAUAGAUGGAUCCGCGCCGCGUUAGCUAGUUGGUAAGGUAACGGCUUACCAAGGCAACGAUGCGUAGCCGACCUGAGAGGGUGAUCGGCCACACUGGAACUGAGACACGGUCCAGACUCCUACGGGAGGCAGCAGUAGGGAAUCUUCCGCAAAGGGCGAAAGCCUGACGGAGCAACGCCGCGUGAGUGAUGAAGGUCUUCGGAUCGUAAAACUCUGUUAUUAGGGAAGAACAAAUGUGUAAGUAACUAUGCACGUCUUGACGGUACCUAAUCAGAAAGCCACGGCUAACUACGUG